AUGAGACUUUCUGCUCAGCUCCUGGGGCUUUUAAUGCUCUGGAUCCCAGGAUCCAGAGAGGAUGUUGUGAUGACCCAGACCCCACUGUCCCUGUCAAUCAUCCCUGGAGAGCCAGCCUCCAUUUCCUGCAGGUCCAGUCAGAGCCUCCUGCAUAGUAAUAGCUACACCCAUUUACAUUGGUAUCUGCAGAAGCCAGGCCAGCCACCACAGAUGCUGAUCUAUAGAGUUUCCAAUAGGUUCUCUGGGGUCUCAGAUUAGGUUCAGUGGCAGUGGGUCAGGGACAGAUUUCACACUUAGAAUCAGCAGAGUGGAGGCUGCAGAUGUUGGAGUCUAUUACUGCCUGCAGGUGUAUGGCAAAACUUCCUUUGAAGUAAACACUUGGGGUAUGACUGAAUUGUAUUUGAAAAAGGAGUCAAAGUCAGGGGGUUUGAAGGUGGUUUAGAGUGUAAGGAAACAUGAUAUCACAAUAUCAAUCUUAGACACCCCAUUUGCCAGAGUGAUAUUCUGGCUCUAUAUCUCACUUCUUCAUUCUCUCUCUACAUUUGUGUGUAA